rnacentral:rRNA from 1 species
CAGCCGCCGCGGGAAUACAGAGGAUGCAAGCGCUAUCCGGAAUGAUUGGGCGUAAAGCGUCUGUAGGUGGCUUUUCAAGUCCGCCGUCAAAUCCCAGGACUCAACCCUGGACAGGCGGUGGAAACUACCAAGCUGGAGUACGGUAGGGGCAGAGGGAAUUUCCGGUGGAGCGGUGAAACGCGUUGAGAUCGGAAAGAACACCAACGGCGAAAGCACUCCACUGGGCCGACACUGACACUGAGAGACGAAAGCUAGGGGAGCAAAUGGGAUUAGAUACCCGCGUAGUCCCUGUCUCUUAUAC